rnacentral:rRNA from 1 species
UGGGGAAUAUUGCACAAUGGGCGCAAGCCUGAUGCAGCCAUGCCGCGUGUAUGAAGAAGGCCUUCGGGUUGUAAAGCACUUUCAGCGGGGAGGAAGGUGUUGAGGUUAAUAACCUCAGCAAUUGACGUUACCCGCAGAAGAAGCACCGGCUAACUCCGUGCCAGCAGCCGCGGUAAUACGGAGGGUGCAAGCGUUAAUCGGAAUUACUGGGCGUAAAGCGCACGCAGGCGGUCUGUCAAGUCGGAUGUGAAAUCCCCGGGCUCAACCUGGGAACUGCAUUCGAAACUGGCAGGCUAGAGUCUUGUAGAGGGGGGUAGAAUUCCAGGUGUAGCGGUGAAAUGCGUAGAGAUCUGGAGGAAUACCGGUGGCGAAGGCGGCCCCCUGGACAAAGACUGACGCUCAGGUGCGAAAGCGUGGGGAGCAAACA